rnacentral:rRNA from 2 species
GAACAGCGACCUUGGUCAAUGAAGUUGAGUGCUUUGCAUUUAACUGAUUUGACAUUAAGACGAGUGGCGAACUGGUGAGUAACACGUGGGUAACUUGCCCCGAAGCGGGGGAUAACAUUUGGAAACAGGUGCUAAUACCGCAUAACAACAAAAACCACAUGGUUUUUGUUUAAAAGAUGGUUUCGGCUAUCACUUUGGGAUGGACCCGCGGCGUAUUAGCUAGUUGGUGAGGUAAUGGCUCACCAAGGCAAUGAUACGUAGCCGACCUGAGAGGGUAAUCGGCCACAUUGGGACUGAGACACGGCCCAAACUCCUACGGGAGGCAGCAGUAGGGAAUCUUCCACAAUGGACGAAAGUCUGAUGGAGCAACGCCGCGUGAGUGAUGAAGGGUUUCGGCUCGUAAAACUCUGUUGUUGGAGAAGAACGGGUGUCAGAGUAACUGUUGACAUCGUGACGGUAUCCAACCAGAAAGCCACGGCUAACUACGUGCCAGCAGCCGCGGUAAUACGUAGGUGGCAAGCGUUGUCCGGAUUUAUUGGGCGUAAAGCGAGCGCAGGCGGUUUUUUAGGUCUGAUGUGAAAGCCUUCGGCUUAACCGGAGAAGUGCAUCGGAAACCGGGAGACUUGAGUGCAGAAGAGGACAGUGGAACUCCAUGUGUAGCGGUGAAAUGCGUAGAUAUAUGGAAGAACACCAGUGGCGAAAGCGGCUGUCUGGUCUGCAACUGACGCUCAGGCUCGAAAGCAUGGGUAGCGAACAGGAUUAGAUACCCUGGUAGUCCAUGCCGUAAACGAUGAGUGCUAAGUGUUGGAGGGGUUCCGCCCUUCAUUGCUGGAGCUAACGCAUUAAGGAUUCCGACUGGGGUAGUACGAUCCAAACGGUUGAGACUUCAAAAGAAAUUGA